AGCGAACGCUGGCGGCAGGCCUAACACAUGCAAGUCGAACGGAUCCUUCGGGAUUAGUGGCGGACGGGUGAGUAACACGUGGGAACGUGCCCUUUGGUUCGGAACAACUCAGGGAAACUUGAGCUAAUACCGGAUGUGCCCUUCGGGGGAAAGAUUUAUCGCCAUUGGAGCGGCCCGCGUCUGAUUAGCUAGUUGGUGAGGUAACGGCCCACCAAGGCGACGAUCAGUAGCUGGUCUGAGAGGAUGAUCAGCCACACUGGGACUGAGACACGGCCCAGACUCCUACGGGAGGCAGCAGUGGGGAAUCCUGCGCAAUGGGCGAAAGCCUGACGCAGCCAUGCCGCGUGAAUGAUGAAGGUCUUAGGAUUGUAAAAUUCUUUCAGCGGGGACGAUAAUGACGGUACCCGCAGAAGAAGCGCCGGCUAACUUCGUG
rnacentral:rRNA from 1 species